rnacentral:tRNA from 1 species
GAGGGUAUAGCUCAGUGGUAGAGUGCAUUCUUAUCAUGCACAAGGUCCCAGGUUCAAUCCCCGGUGCCUCCA